UAUGCCCUUUUCNNNNNNNNNNUUCUGAUUACAAUUACUAUCUCUCAUCUUUUCACUAAAUGCAAUCUAUUAGCUUCCAAAAUGUAAGUAGGUAUAAGGUAUAUCUAUCUGUCUGAUAACACCUUCUGAUUGAAUGGCUCCGCCUGCACUUUGAAAAACCCACAGUGCAUUAAGUGAAUGUUGGAAAAAGAUAUUGGUUCCCUUCUAAACAUAGAAAUGUGAAUGCAGAACGGAUUCGGCCACAAAAUAGGUGAAGUGAACUGACAAAAGAGUUUCUCAUACAAAGGAAAGCGCAGUGUGAAAACAAAGAAAACUGAGAUAUUUAGCUUUUUUUUACCCCAGAGUUCACUUUAAAGAGGACUGAAAUCAGUUAUUUUAAAGAGGACUGACUAUAUGUGAAAACACCAUUAUAAUGUAGGGUUAAAAUUGAUGCAAUAGAGGAUCCCUGCCAAAGGCAAUUUAGGCGGGUCAUAGUAGGCGGGACAUAGACAGAUCACAGAGCUUUUUAGAAAUGUGUCCAUACCUCUUCCGGGCUCAUUACACUCCGCUUUGCGGAUCAUAGACAAGUUGGAUGUGUGAGAAAUAGUUAGGUCUCCACACACAUCCAAUCUAGUUUCUGCCGUAUUGCUUUCACCUAUUCAGCCUGAUCAUUUCGGUGAAAGGGAGUGAGCGAGGAGGCAAAGGAGGAAGCAUCGCUUUGGAAUGAAAUACGGUCAGUGUGUCUCGAAAAGCUCCCAUACUUCUGCGCACGUAAACAUCGCAAACAUGUAUUCAAUGUACAAUAGAAUGCUGGCGAAAGAUGGAAGUUCCGUUAUUUUGAAGUCUUUCUUGACGACUAGGUGCUUAUAGGAUAGUGGUGUGAGUAAUGGCAUGGCCCAGAGUCCCAUGCCUCCUGCUGAUCCUGCUGCUCCUACUACACACCUGCUUACCUCAACCAGGUGAGUCCUUCACACUGGACUGAUCCCAGAUCUUUUUCCUGGUAAAGUCAUGUGACCAGGAAAUUCUCCUUGUGACUAUUUAUAAUCUCUAUUUGACACACCCUCAGAUCCACCAUUCACUGAUCAGCUCUGGUGUUUCUUCAAAUAAUUCAGAUGGACUAAACCGAAAUGCUGAUCUAUAUGUUUGAUCUGAUUGUCUGUCUAUGUUAUUAGUUCAUUCUUAUUAUUAAACACUGGACCGUAUCUUUUAUACU
rnacentral:lncRNA from 13 species